rnacentral:rRNA from 1 species
GACGUAGGGCGCGAGCGUUGUCCGGAUUUAUUGGGCGUAAAGAGCUCGUAGGCGGCUUGUCGCGUCGACUGUGAAAACUCGGGGCUCAACUCCGAGCUUGCAGUCGAUACGGGCAGGCUAGAGUUCGGUAGGGGAGACUGGAAUUCCUGGUGUAGCGGUGAAAUGCGCAGAUAUCAGGAGGAACACCGGUGGCGAAGGCGGAUCUCUGGGCCUGUCCUGACGCUCAGGCGCGAAAGCUAGGGGAGCAAACAGG